rnacentral:rRNA from 1 species
GAUGAACGCUGGCGGCGUGCCUAAUACAUGCAAGUCGAGCGAACAGAUGAGGAGCUUGCUCCUCUGACGUUAGCGGCGGACGGGUGAGUAACACGUGGAUAACCUCCCUAUAAGUCUGGGAUAACUUCGGGAAACCGGAGCUAAUACCGGAUAAUAUAUUGAACCGCAUGGUUCAAUAGUGAAAGACGGUUUUGCUGUCACUUAUAGAUGGAUCCGCGCCGCAUUAGCUAGUUGUUAAGGUAACGGCUUACCAAGGCAACGAGGCGUAGCCGACCUGAGAGGGUGAUCGGCCACACUGGAACUGAGACACGGUCCAGAGUCCUACGGGAGGCAGCAGUAGGGAAUCGGACGCAAUGGGCGAAAGCUUGACGGAGCAACGCCGCGUGAGUGAUGAAGGUCUUCGGAUCGUAAAACUCUGUUAUUAGGGAAGAACAAAUGUGUAAGUAGCUAUGCACGUCUUGACGGUACCUAAUCAGAAAGCCACGGCUAACUACGUG